GACGAACGCUGGCGGCGUGCCUAAUACAUGCAAGUAGAACGCUGAAGGAGGAGCUUGCUUCUCCGGAUGAGUUGCGAACGGGUGAGUAACGCGUAGGUAACCUGCCUGGUAGCGGGGGAUAACUAUUGGAAACGAUAGCUAAUACCGCAUAAGAGUAGAUGUUGCAUGACAUUUGCUUAAAAGGUGCAAUUGCAUCACUACCAGAUGGACCUGCGUUGUAUUAGCUAGUUGGUGGGGUAACGGCUCACCAAGGCGACGAUACAUAGCCGACCUGAGAGGGUGAUCGGCCACACUGGGACUGAGACACGGCCCAGACUCCUACGGGAGGGAGCAGUAGGGAAUCUUCGGCAAUGGACGGAAGUCUGACCGAGCAACGCCGCGUGAGUGAAGAAGGUUUUCGGAUCGUAAAGCUCUGUUGUAAGAGAAGAACGAGUGUGAGAGUGGAAAGUUCACACUGUGACGGUAUCUUACCAGAAAGGGACGGCAAACUACGU
rnacentral:rRNA from 1 species